rnacentral:rRNA from 1 species
CCCUACGGGGCGCAGCAGUGGGGAAUAUUGCACAAUGGGGAAACCCUGAUGCAGCGACGCCGCGUGAGUGAAGAAGUAUUUCGGUAUGUAAAGCUCUAUCAGCAGGGAAGAAAAUGACGGUACCUGACUAAGAAGCCCCGGCUAACUACGUGCCAGCAGCCGCGGUAAUACGUAGGGGGCAAGCGUUAUCCGGAUUUACUGGGUGUAAAGGGAGCGUGGGCGGAACAUUAAGUCAGCGGUAAAAUCGAGGGGCUCAACCCCUUUAAGCCGUUGAAACUGGUGAUCUUGAGUGGGCGAGAAGUAUG